CUUCCGCCCCGGCCCGGCCUGGAGAGAGCGCUCGGCAGCAUGGGCGCGGCGGCUCUCAGCUUGGCCGGCCUUGCCUUCACCUUCAGGGGCGGAGCUCACGCUUACAGCAGUUUACAGUUUCUGGUUGCUAGUUUUCCUUCCGUUGACCGAGUGUCGCUCAGUGAUGAAAAUGAACAGUUAGUCAAGAAGUUGAAAAAACUACACAUAAAAAAUAAGGAGCUAGAAAAGAAUCUGGGUCAGAUCCAAGAAAAACUGCAUCUGCAGAAGUUAAUGCAUGACUAUGUCACAAGCAGAGAUGUUCAAGUUCAAACAGAAACCCAUUUAUGGCAUAAGGUUGGAUACAGCAAGGAUCUUAUUCUAGAGGGUGACAGUGUCAGACUACUUCAGAUGUAUAAUGAGCUACAGAAAUGUUACAUUAAAGAAAUCAAAACAAACCAGGAGCAAAGUGAAGCAAUUAAAAAUCUCACUAUUAAAAUUCAUGAGCUAGAGCAUAAUCUUCAAGAACAGAAGCAAAGAAUUGAGCAAUUGGAAUGUAAAAAGGUUUCUUGGAAAACCAGUGCUGUUUCUGGAAAAAGACAUCGAACCCCAGAGGGUGAAGUAACAUCUCUCAGGGACACAUCUAAAAAGAAAGAAUCCUGUUGCAGUGAAUGUUUAGGUAAUGAUCUAUUGUUGAAAGAGAUUAAAAAGCUGAAGAAAAAAAAUGAAAAGUUGUCUACAGAAAGGAGAGCACUAAAAAAUGAAUUAGCCGGAUUAGACAAGGUAAUUUAUUUUAGGACAAGUUUAAGAAUAGGUGAUUUUUGAAAAGCUAACUUUUCUGCCUGUACUGAAACUUAUCUUUAGGCUGAACAUAAGCUGUUAUCAAGCAAAAUACCUAAAAAAUCAAAUUGAAGCAUUCUGAGAAAGAAAUGGAAAUGAUGACUCCUUGAAACAUUAAUGUCCUACAAUACUGCUUGGCUAAGGAAGAGGAAUAAUAGAUUUUUUUUUUAAUUUUAAGCAGCUGGAGUUUCUUGUGGAUUUUUUUAAUCUUUGGCCAAUUUGGUUUCUUUCAUGAGAGAUUCUCAUGUAUUUACGACAUUAAAAUUGUAACUUCGGGUGACAGUCUUAAUUUCUUCCAACAGACAUUUGCAGCGAUAAUAAUUUUUUUUUUUGGAUGAUGACUUUUAUUGCUUCAUGAUGUCAGUGAGAGGAAAAUUAUUUGCUCUUGAACUUUAACAUUUCAAAGUUAUGCCUCUGACAGAACUAAGAUUUGGGAGAGCAGAGGGGAGGGCUUUGGAGGUUUUGUGAUAGAUUGUCUAUACCUGAUGUAGAAAGUGUGAAAAUUUGGUAAUUCUUGAAGUUAUGUGGAAAGAUGCAGAGGUCUUAUCUAGCUAUAGAGGACUCAGUUUACUGUACUGACCUAAGAUUUUGUUUUCAGCGACAAACUUGUUUAAAUUGUUUUUUGCUUAUUCAAGACUUCUGUUGGAAGGUUUUUUUGAGAAACUGUUUUCUUAUCUUUCAAUCCUCUCUCACAAGCUAAAUAAUAUUAUGCUGGCUUUCAAUUACAGGGGUAGCAGUAAAACAUGUUCAUAGUUCAUUAGAUGUGAAACUUGUAGAACAUUGAGCCAGGGUGAGUUCUAGCUCCCAUUGUUGGGGAAUUAGGGACAAUUUGUGGCUGAAAGUUUCAUCUUUCAGAAGAGAAAUAUAUAAAUCUGAGGUUAUGGCUUUCACUUACAAAGGAUCAGAAUUGCUUAAUAGACUUGAGUUGCAGGAGCUAAACAAAAUAUUUAAGCUAUGGGCCAUCAAUAUUUUUAAUAGCUGAAGUUUAUUUCUGUGAAGCUGAGUUUAUCUCCUGGUUGAAUUAGGUAUAGCUAGAAGUACUUGUUAAAUUAUGCAUUCUGGGAUAGUGUAAUUAUGGGAGGAUCAUAACUGAAAGCCUUUUUCCAUCUUAAACUCUUCAGCAUUGUCUUGUUCAAAUGCUAACAUCUUCCUCCUUAGCUCACUCUUCUCAUCUCUCUCUUUGCUUCUUGUCCUUUUUUUAUAAUCGUGCAACUUUCAGAUCUUCAAAUUUAAUGGUGUGUUACCUACUACUGGCUGACUUCAGCAUGUAUAGCUAUAUUUUUGCACAGGAUUUUUUUGAAGAGGUAGAAGAUCUAAAGCAUGCUGUACAGGAAUCUGUGAA